UCUGUCAAAAUCACCAGGGAUGGAUGACGUGCAAUCUCGAGCAUCCCGAUCGCGACAUAAAUGUAAACAAAAAAUUAUCAUAGAAAAAGAAAAACGACUCACAGCAUCGAAUAUUGCAGUGAUUGUACAUGGCAAGGCUUUAGUUUUGGCGUAAGUAGACACUCGAUGUAGACGUUUGACUUGUGAAGAGAGCGGUGAAGUAACUGUAUUAGACUGUCCUGUACCAAACUGUCGCCCAGGUUGUAUACUUUAUGGUUUUACACCCAUAGAUGACAGUAAAGAUUAUCCACACUGCUGUGAACAAGUAAAUGCUCUUAUGGAGGCUAUGUUUAUGACAGAGGUUU
rnacentral:misc_RNA from 1 species